rnacentral:rRNA from 1 species
UUGGAGAGUUUGAUCCUGGCUCAGGACGAACGCUGGCGGCGUGCUUAACACAUGCAAGUCGAACGGAAAGGCCCUGCUUUUGUGGGGUGCUCGAGUGGCGAACGGGUGAGUAACACGUGAGUAACCUGCCCUUGACUUUGGGAUAACUUCAGGAAACUGGGGCUAAUACCGGAUAGGAGCUCCUGCUGCAUGGUGGGGGUUGGAAAGUUUCGGCGGUUGGGGAUGGACUCGCGGCUUAUCAGCUUGUUGGUGGGGUAGUGGCUUACCAAGGCUUUGACGGGUAGCCGGCCUGAGAGGGUGACCGGCCACAUUGGGACUGAGAUACGGCCCAGACUCCUACGGGAGGCAGCAGUGGGGAAUAUUGCACAAUGGGCGGAAGCCUGAUGCAGCAACGCCGCGUGCGGGAUGACGGCCUUCGGGUUGUAAACCGCUUUCGCCUGUGACGAAGCGUGAGUGACGGUAAUGGGUAAAGAAGCACCGGCUAACUACGUGCCAGCAGCCGCGGUGAUACGUAGGGUGCGAGCGUUGUCCGGAUUUAUUGGGCGUAAAGGGCUCGUAGGUGGUUGAUCGCGUCGGAAGUGUAAUCUUGGGGCUUAACCCUGAGCGUGCUUUCGAUACGGGUUGACUUGAGGAAGGUAGGGGAGAAUGGAAUUCCUGGUGGAGCGGUGGAAUGCGCAGAUAUCAGGAGGAACACCAGUGGCGAAGGCGGUUCUCUGGGCCUUUCCUGACGCUGAGGAGCGAAAGCGUGGGGAGCGAACAGGCUUAGAUACCCUGGUAGUCCACGCUGUAAACGGUGGGUACUAGGUGUGGGGUCCAUUCCACGGGUUCCGUGCCGUAGCUAACGCUUUAAGUACCCCGCCUGGGGAGUACGGCCGCAAGGCUAAAACUCAAAGGAAUUGACGGGGCCCCGCACAAGCGGCGGAGCAUGCGGAUUAAUUCGAUGCAACGCGUAGAACCUUACCUGGGUUUGACAUGGAUCGGGAGCGCUCAGAGAUGGGUGUGCCUCUUUUGGGGUCGGUUCACAGGUGGUGCAUGGCUGUCGUCAGCUCGUGUCGUGAGAUGUUGGGUUAAGUCCCGCAACGAGCGCAACCCUUGUUCACUGUUGCCAGCACGUUAUGGUGGGGACUCAGUGGAGACCGCCGGGGUCAACUCGGAGGAAGGUGGGGAUGACGUCAAGUCAUCAUGCCCCUUAUGUCCAGGGCUUCACGCAUGCUACAAUGGCUGGUACAGAGAGUGGCGAGCCUGUGAGGGUGAGCGAAUCUCGGAAAGCCGGUCUCAGUUCGGAUUGGGGUCUGCAACUCGACCUCAUGAAGUCGGAGUCGCUAGUAAUCGCAGAUCAGCAACGCUGCGGUGAAUACGUUCCCGGGGCUUGUACACACCGCCCGUCAAGUCAUGAAAGUUGGUAACACCCGAAGCCGGUGGCCUAACCGUUGUGGGGGAGCCGUCGAAGGUGGGACUGGUGAUUAGGACUAAGUCGUAACAAGGUAGCCGUACCGGAAGGUGCGGCUGGAUCACCUCCUUU